ACAAAAACUAAUUGAUAUCCGUAUUUUAAAAUUAUUUUUCUUUUUGGAACGUGGGUUUUAUUGUAGUUGAUUUUCUUCAAAGGAUGUAAGUUUCUGCUCUUGUUAAUUUCUCUUUUUUCUAUUUCAAGGCUAGCUCGGUAUUGAUUUUCUGAUUUUUUUUAAAUUAAAUUAUUUUUUUCUGGAUUUUGAUUUCGGUUGAGAAU
rnacentral:lncRNA from 1 species